AGGAUUGAUUUUGCGAUAAGAAUACAAUUCUGGAGCACGUUCAGCCGUCGUAGUAGCGGAUGGUCUUGUUUUUCCUUCAGUUCCCUGCUGCGCUGCUUCAACUUCUACAGAAAGAGUGAAACGCUGUGAUGAAAGUAGUUGAAGCGCGUAAUUGAAGAUGGUGUCGUCGUGCAGAACUGAAUACGCUUUGCACAGGCAGGAAUUCGAUGUUUCUAGCACUCAGUUUUUAACCAGUUCCUGGAACAAUCAGGUUUUAAAAUUCUGUAUCUUGAACCAGCGAGGGAGAGAAUUUGUGUAACUUUGUGCUGGUGGUACCUAGAGAAAAACACCAAAACGGACGAGAACACGUGAAGUUCCACGUCUGUUUUGUAGCAAUAACAGCUUUUUCUCCCCGUUUUUCAGGGCAGGCUCUUUGCUUUGUUUCUUCCGGUUUGCUGGUUGUUGCUCAGGUUCUUAGGUUGUUUCCACUUAGAGGAGGAGGAGCAAAUAUGUUCUGAUUUUUUCUCUUGAAAGAUGAGUGGGAUCUGGAUAUGAUGAGAGGGAUCUGGAUAGACUGGAAAAAUGGGCCGAUUCCAAUGGGAUGAAGUUCAACAAGGCCAAGUGCCGGGUGCUGCACUUUGGCCACAACAACCCCCUGCAGCGCUCCAGGCUGGGCACAGAGUGGCUGGAGAGCAGUCAGGCAGAAAGGGACCUGGGGGUACUAAUGGACAGGAAGCUCAACAUGAGCCAACAGUGUGCCCAGGUGGCCAAGAAGGCCAAUGGUGUCCUGUCCUGUAUCCAAACUGGCGUGGUCAGCAGGACAAGGGCAGUGAUCCUUCCCCUGUGCUCUGCAUUGGGGAGGCCACACCUGGAGUGUUGUGUUCAGUUCUGGGCCCCUCAGCUCAGGAAAGAGAUUGAAGUGCUGGAGCGGGUCCAGAGAAGAGCAACAAGACUGGGGAAGGGACUGGAACACAAGCCCUAUGGGGAGAGGCUGAGGGAGCUGGGCUUGUUCAGUCUGGAGAAGAGGAGGCUUAGAGCUGAGCUCAGCACUCUCUAGAACUACCUGAAGGGCAGUUCUGGCCAGGUGGGGAUUGGGCUCUUCUCCAGGCAGUCAGCAAUAGGACAAGGGGCCAUGGGCUUCAACUCUGCCAGGGGAAAUUGAGGGUGGAGAUUAGAAAGUAAUUCUUUGCAGAGAGAGUGGUCAGGCAUUGGAAUGGCUGCCCAGGGAGGUGCUGGACUCACCGGCCCUGGAGGGUUUUAAACUGAGAUUGGCCAUGGCACUUAGUGCCAUGAUCUAGUAAACGGACUGGAGUUGGACCAAGGGUUGGACUGGAUGAUCUCUGAGGUCUUUUCCAACCCAGUUGAUUCUGUGACUGGUUAUUUUUGACAAAAUCAGGAGCUUUUGGCUACAAUGUCAAUGCAUCAGCACUUCAGCUCCGAUUUCUUUAAAGGAACGUACAUGUCCUGACUAAUAUGGCUGUGGGGAAUUGCAUUGAACUAAAGUAGCCCUAAUUUUUUAGUCUUGAAACUAGUUUUUAUCCUGCUACAUGAAGUUAAACUAACCCGGGGAAUCUCCAGGUAAGGAAGAGGCAAAUGAUUUACCUGUGUUUUUAGAACUUGCCCUCAAAAUUAUUCCCUGGGUAACCACUCGCUGAAGUUUGUUGGCAGGGCUGUAGCAAUGGCACCUUUCAAAUGUUGGGUUAUAUGUGGGAGGCAAAACGUUUUUUCUCCUCCAAGUAAUCACAGAAUCAUUUUGAUUGGAAGAGACCCUGAGGGUCACAGAGUCCAACCACAACCCAACUCCAGCACUAAACCUUGUCCCUUAGAACUGGCACUAAAAACUAAUCCAGUUCAGUCAAUUUGUACAGUCUCUAUGCACAGAUCUGUUUUUUCCAGACGCGCUUGUUAGCUAAUAAUAAGGUGUGCUUAAUAGCUAAUUUUGCAAUUAAUUUCUCCAUUUUAUGCAAAUAAAGAUCUAUUGUUCCUCAUAUCUACAAAGCAUUAAAACAUGAUGUUCCUUGUAAACUUUAAAUAUUUCGCAAAAUGUGUCAUUUCCCAUAGAAAGUAAACGUGCCCUUUUUUCCUCCCCUUGUUGCUUGGCUGGCUCUUGGCUGUAGAGUUUUCACCCUUUAUAAACGCCUUCAGCUGCGCGCCGUGUUCAGAACGGGGCUCAGCACAGCAUGUGAAGUCUAAAGGUCGUAAAUUGAAUGUGCUUCACUGGGCCCAAGUAGCUUUGAGUCCCUCAAAGUGUUUUUUCUAGGGCGAUGGAAGAAGAACAACGCGCUUGUCCCCUCUGAGCCGCUGUGACGAGUUCCAGCGCCCCCUCAACCAAGAAAUAGUAAUAAUGGAUUUGAAAAUUAAAUUGGAAUGUAAGCGAUAAGCUAAAAGUCAGUGCUGCUCUGUUCUAGCAGAGUUUGGAGUGGUGGGAGUUGCCAGCUCAGAGGCAACACUUGGAGUGUUUAGUCCUUUAACUUUACUAAUUUUCACUUACUUGAACCUUUUACGUGAAUUAAGAGUGUUUAAUGAUAUAAAAGCCAUAAAUUAGAGUGCUUGAGGUACGAUAACCGCCCAGAGGAGGACAGUGACCUUGGCAUCCCCCACUCUUGCUGAGACUGUUAUUCCUCCUCCCGCGCGUCCAUCUAGUGCGACGUGGGCUUGGAGGGGUUCUCAAGAAACUCUUGGUUUGUGAUUGAGCCCUGUCCGGAAUCUUCAGAGCCCCUGCCUGUUAAAAUACACAUACGAAAGUGAGGAAAACCGUCCUUCGUAUGAAUGUGCUGCUCAGGUUGCGGAGGUUCAUCCACACCUGGUGCAGCCAACGACCUGUUCGUCUGAAGACAUUUUAACAGCAAACGUUGCAGUUUUUACUAAGUUUAGGAGGUGGGCUGCUUUUUUUUUCACUUUUUCCUCUGUUUUUCUUGUCCAGAACUCUUCAUGUGAUCAGCAGUUGGGAUGAGGAGGAACUUCUUCCAAACUGUGAUCCCUGUCAUCUUAUGUCGAUGGGUGUCUAACGAACGGCGUAGGUGGGUGUCUAACGAACGACGUAGGUGGGUGUCUAACGAACGACGUAGGUGGGUGUCUAACGAACGAUGUAGGUGGGUGUCUAACGAACGGCGUAGGUGGGUGUCUAACGAACGACGUAGGUGGGUGUCUAACGAACGGCGUAGGUGGGUGUCUAACGAACGGCGUAGGUGGGUGUCUAACGAACGGCGUAGGUGGGUGUCUAACGAACGACGUAGGUGGGUGUCUAACGAACGACGUAGGUGGGUGUCUAAUGAACGAUGUAGGUGGGUGUCUAACGAACGAACGGCAUAGGUGGGUGUCUAACGAACGGCGUAGGUGGGUGUCUAACGAACAACGUAGGUGGGUGUCUAACGAACAACGUAGGUGGGUGUCUAACAAACGAACGGCGUAGGUGCGUGUCUAAUGAACGACGUAGGUGGGUGUCUAACGAACGGCGUAGGUGGGUGUCUAGUGACGUAGGUGGGUGUCUAGUGACGUAGGUGGGUGUCUAAUGAUGUAGAUCAGUGUCUAAUGACGUAGGUGGGUAUCUAAUGAUAUCAAUCGGUAUCUAAUGAUGUAGAUCAGUAUCUAACGAUGUCAGUGGGUAUCUAGUGAUGUCGGUGGUUAUCUAAUGGUGUAGAUCGGUAUCCAAUGAUGCAGUUUUACAGGUGUCUGAGUUUCAGUGCCCCGUCAAUACAAGGAGUCCUUUCGAACACAGGUGUUUCUUCUGUAAUCUGCAUUGGGGAAGCAUCUAACAUAACACCAACGCUUCUGUUUUCUGGCCUGGCCUCAGGGCAGGUGAGAAUGAUGGUUGUGGAAGGGCUGGAAAGCUGCUUUUGGUGCUGUUGGGUGCAGUAGGUGAAUGACCCAUACAACCUGUUUUGGAAGAAAAAUCCUGGAUGGUGGUAAAAAUUUCCAAAAGAAUUUUGCGGGGCCAAAGGUCCACAUACGGUAACAUCAAAGUUGCAUUAAAUCUGAUGUAGUCAAGCAAUCAGUCUUCUGUGUUCUUAGGUUAUAGAUUUCUCUAAAAUCAACUAAUUUGCUGAAAAAAAUGAGGACAAAGCAGUGGUAUUUGGGUGGGAGAGGAAAGUCCGAUAAAGUUGCUUCUUGUUUCUUAAGGAAGUAGCAUCUGCUUCCUCCCUUUUUGAAUUUUGUUUUUAGGAGAAUGAUUGUAAUGGACUGUAUCUUUCUAUUUUAAUCUCUUCUUUUAAUCUCUAUAACUAUAUAUGUUUCAGGUUAAGGUCCUACAAGCUGGAAAUGCAAAGAAGUUGCAUGUUUCGUAUCUCUUGAACCGUCAUGUGUUCCCUACAAAGCUUCCAAUAACGAGUAAAUGAAUGCAGGACAGACCACGAGGAUGGAUUUUUAACUGUUUUUCUAUAUAAAAAUGCAUAUUUUAGAUACUGAGCUGGAUCCAGCAAUAGACGCUGUGAGCUUUGCUCUUCAUGUAAGAGGCAUAUGGGGGCUACAUAAUUCACCUUUGCUCUCUCUUGGCAGUUACUGUGUUGGUAGGUGAAAAUGAUUUGUUUUUGUCAAUUAAUUGUUUAAAUAAAAUAUUUUAGAAAAGAUAGUUGAUCAUAAUUUGAAGUUGUUGGAACUUGAUCAGAAAUUGACGUUGAUUGAACUUGAUCAGAAAUUAAGCUCCACAAAAGUUAAAACUCAUUUAUACCAAAUGUGUGCAAGCGCUUGAUCUCUUUUAUCGACUAAUAAUGUUUUGGCUUCCGUCCUCAUCUCGUCGCUCGUAAUGCCUGAAGAAUGUUCAUGAUGAACUGAGCUGGCUGGUGAGUUAUUUGUCUUCACUUUUUAAGUCAAGCUUGGUUGUAGCCCAGCGCUUUGUGAACACGAGUGUCUCAGGCAAACCUGUGGUUGGAAUUAUUUACAGUUACUUCUUAGAGUUUUGUACAAAAAUUUCAGUUGUAUCCCGAUUUAGGAAAUUGUAGCGUUCCCGUGAAUGGCUCUUCCAUGGCCCUUUCGCAGCCCACAUUGGCGAGAAAAAACAAACCAAAAAACCCACAGACCACAGACACACACAAAACCAAAUGAAAAAACAACCAACCAAACAAAAAGUAAUUAAAAAACCCAAAAAUCACCCACAACAACAAAACCCCAAAACCCCAAGCCAGCCACCCCAGACCCAACAGACAGGGAAAUGAGACAGAAAGAUAACAGGACUCUACUUUCUUUUUAAUAUCUAUUUGUUUCAAUAUUUUCCCUUUCUAGGUUUCCUGGGCUCUGUCUCUGUCCCUCUCAGCGUGGAACGGGAUGAUAUUUCACUUUUUCGUGGCUUUCUGUGCUUUUGAAUGGAAUCAUUCAGGAAGCCGGACCUCAGCUUUCAGUGGAGGUGAGGUGAGGAAGCAGUUGUGUAACCGCCCAUUUUAUUUGCCUGAAAACACCUUUUUGGGUGUUAUCCCCGUGCUGAGGUACCUGCUGCUUUGCAAGGUUCAUAUUUGUGAGACUCAGCAAUACCACGAGAAAGGAGCAGGAUGAGAAUCAAUUGUUGAUUUAGAUGCGUAUUACACUUCUCAUGACCCAAGAGUUGAGUUAGGUCUGGAGUUCAGCUUAGUUUGAGGGAGCUUUAGAGCUUUAUACCCACUCACAGAUGGCAGAAACUUGUCAACCACUGUUAUUUCUUCGAACAGGUAAUUUAAAGUGAGAGUUUUUCUUCUAGAUCCCUUGAUUUCUGGUCUCCGACCUGUGCUGGAUCAUCAGCCUGGCUUGACCUUAUCUCUUAGUGCCGCAGCCUGGGAGAGUGAUUUAGAAAAUCUUGAGGAUGAGCCUUGUUUUCACUGUUAUUAAAACUGCACGUGCAAUCUGUACUUCUGCAGUAAAUGUAAAGCGUACCGUGGAUUAAAUGUCUUCUACAAGAACCCCGGCAGGUGAUCCGAGCGGCGACUCAGUGCGGCGGCAGCUCCAGGUGGGUGCGUUGUGUGUGUUCCAGUCUUCCCCCUUGUUCUGUGCAGCGGACGGGAAGCUGCACGUGCCUCGUUGUAACUCGUUCCCUACUCGGUCCUCUUGUAACGUCCAGUUUUUCUAAUAAACAUCUCUUGAAGUCA